GGUUCGUCGGCGGCGAGAAACUCCCGGGCAAGGUGACCUUCGUCUCGGCGCAGGAGCAUACAGGCCCGGUGAGCGUCGGCCCGUCGGCGGACCGAGGAAGACCGUCGCGGAGCGGCGUCGACCGUUCGUCGUGUGUUGGCGUUCGACUCGGGGGGACUGGUUCCAGUGCCCUCGGACCGCGCCGGCGCAGCGGCGGGCGCGCACGGCGUCGCGCCUGGGGUCGGUGGCGAAACGGCCGGCAACCUGUCCGACCCGUCUUGAAACACGGACCAAGGAGUCUAACAUGUGCGCGAGUCGUUGGGCGCUACGAAACCCGAAGGCGCAAUGAAAGUGAAGGCCCGGUCUCCGGCCGGCCUGGGUGGGAUCCCGGCGGUCUCGGCCGUCGGGCGCACCACCGGCCCGUCUCGUUCGUUACGUCGAGGAGGCGGAGCAAGAGCGUACACGUUGGGACCCGAAAGAUGGUGAACUAUGCCCGAGUAGGACGAAGCCAGAGGAAACUCUGGUGGAGGUCCGCAGCGAUUCUGACGUGCAAAUCGAUCGUCAAACUUGGGUAUAGGGGCGAAAGACUAAUCGAACCAUCUAGUAGCUGGUUCCUGUCGAAGUUUCCCUCAGGAUAGCUGGCGCUCGUCGUGAGCAGUUUUAUCCGGUAAAGCGAAUGACUGGAGGCCUUGGG
rnacentral:rRNA from 1 species